rnacentral:tRNA from 1 species
CCGAUUAGUUCAGCUGGAUAGAAUGUCUGCCUACGGAGCAGAUGGUCGUAGGUUCGAAUCCUGCAUCGGG